rnacentral:rRNA from 1 species
UGGGGAAUAUUGCACAAUGGGGGAAACCCUGAUGCAGCGACGCCGCGUGAGCGAAGAAGUAUUUCGGUAUGUAAAGCUCUAUCAGCAGGGAAGAAACUGACGGUACCUGACUAAGAAGCACCGGCUAAAUACGUGCCAGCAGCCGCGGUAAUACGUAUGGUGCAAGCGUUAUCCGGAUUUACUGGGUGUAAAGGGAGCGUAGACGGAUGUGCAAGUCUGGAGUGAAAGCCCGGGGCUCAACCCCGGGACUGCUUUGGAAACUGUAUAUCUAGAGUGCUGGAGAGGUAAGUGGAAUUCCUAGUGUAGCGGUGAAAUGCGUAGAUAUUAGGAGGAACACCAGUGGCGAAGGCGGCUUACUGGACAGUAACUGACGUUGAGGCUCGAAAGCGUGGGGAGCAAACA